AGACUCCUGUCUCCAGAAAAAAAAAAACCCCACAAAAUCAAAAACAUACUAUGCAAGGAAUAAUUCUAGAAGAUGUUACAUAAUGAAAUACUUGCCAUGUUUGCAAGUAAUUUUCCCAUAGGAAUAAAUGGAAAUUUCAGCUUAUUUCAAAUUUUGCACAUAUUAUGAAACCUUAUUAAUGUAUUUUUAUCAAACUAAAUGAGAUUUGUAUUUGAAUUGUUAGUAAAAACUGGGUGCAGUUUUGGCUGAUAAUUGAAGGAAAAAUAUCAAAUACAUUGAAUUUUUUUUUUUCCAAUUUUUUCAGACCCUCUGCAGAGGUAUGAAGGUAUGAAUUUCUUUUUGGUGUCAAGAUGCAAAAACAAAUCAUGGUGCUUUUGUUGGGAGAAUUUUGUAUUCAGUAUUUUGUAUGUACCUUUUUUAAAAAAAUUGGAAAGCACAAUUUGGUUUAACAUUUAGCUUCGCUUGACUCCAGUGUAAGAUGAAGAUGACCUUGUAACGGCUCCCCUGACCUGAAGCAGAGCCCUUCCUAUCACUGACACUGUUGGAGGCUGAGAGCCCCCAGCAGAGCCCUUCCCGUCACUGACAGUGUCGGCAGCUGAGAGCCGCCCCAGCAGAGCCCUUCCCAUCACUGACAGUGUCACGGCUGAGAGCCCCCACAGCAGAGCCCUUCCCAUCACUGACGGUGUCAGUGGCUGAGAACCGCCCCAGCAGAGCCCUUCCCAUCACUGACAGUGUCAGUGGCUGAGAGCCGCCCCAGCAGAGCCCUUCCCAUCACAGUGUCGGCAGCUCAGAGCCGCCCCAGCAGAGCCCUUCCCAUCACGGACAGUGUCGGCGGCUGAGAGCCCCCCUGAGCAGAGCCCUUGCCACCUACAGAGAUUUUCUGUCAGGAGUUUCCCACAAUUUCAGACUGGUAAUCUGUGUUUAGCACUCCGGUGUUCUCUUGUAAAAAUAGCCAGGUCUGGAAAUGACCCAUGGGAAGAGGGGCCUUUGUAUUCUGCUAGAACACAGCAUAGUAGUAGAUCACUUUCCUGAAGAGCUUUUUAAAAUACAGCUAAUCUAGGAGUUUGCAAUUUUUCUUACUUUCUACAGCUCAGCAGUGACUAAUGAUGUGUGACUAUGCUGACAAGUUUGAUGAAUUUGUAAAAACUAAGCACUUAAAUGGUUGUAGAAAUGAAAACAUGGAUAUUCAGAAGCCUUUCUAUAUACACAGUGCAGUGAGAUGGUUUACAGCAAAUUCUGUUUUAUUUCUGAAAAUGUUGUAAACAUGUAAUUAGUGAAAGAUUUUGUAAAACAUUGUCCUAUGUUUGUAUGUCUGUAAAUAUAUUGCAUAAGUUCUAAGUAUAAAUAUGUCAGUAUCAUGUAUGUUAUUUUAAAUUGCCUGUAUGCCACUUUAUAUGUUGACAUUAAAAUCAAAGCCAACACUUCAGUGGCAUGUAAUAAAA
rnacentral:lncRNA from 1 species